AUGGACGACGGGGCGGCGGAGGCCGAAGCGCUGCGGCUCCGUCUGGCCGCCGUCGCCAGGAAGUGGCUGGAGGACCCGCGCGCGGACUACGCCGGCAAAAUCACCGACGCGGCCAGCCAAAAGGGGCACGCGCUCAACUCGCUGGUGCUGGCCGGCGCACGCAUCUCCCUCUCCGAGCACGGCCGCGUCGUGUGCUCGUUCCACGUGCCGCCGCCGCUCACCGACUCUGACGGGACGUGGCACGCGGGGGCGCUGGCGGCGGCGGCGGACAACAUGUGCUCGGCGGUGGUCUUCACGGUGGUGGGCGCGCCCACGUCCACCGUCCACUACGGCCUGUCCUACUUCUCGCCCGUCGCGUGCAACGAGGAGGUUCAGUUGGACGGGCGGGUGGUGGGCCGGAAAGGGAAGCUCACGGCCGCCGUGGUGCGGGUGCGGAAGAUGGGAUCCGGCGAGCUGGUGGCGAUAGGGAGGCAGUGGAUGACCCCUGCCUGGCCAACGAAGAGCAACAAAAGUAGGAGCAAGCUCUGA
rnacentral:rRNA from 1 species